rnacentral:misc_RNA from 2 species
AACGCACAUUGCGCCCAUUAGUAUUCUAGUGGGCAUGCCUGUUCGAGCGUCAUUUCAACCCUUAAGCCCCUGUUGCUUAGUGUUGGGAGCCUACGGUAAUAGUAGCUCCUGAAAGUUAGUGGCGGAGUCGGUUCACACUCUAGACGUAGUAGAUUUUAUCUCGCCUAUCAGUUGGACCGGUCCCUUGCCGUAAAACCACCUAAUUUCUAAAGGUUGACCUCGGAUCAGGUAGGAAUACCCGCUGAACUUAA